ACUAAUACCAUGUCUUUAGGAAUAAGACGUGGGCUGUAAUGUUUUUCUAAUUCUUUAUCUUAUAAGGUUAUAUAAGCCACCAGUAAGUGUUCAAUAAACUGGGAUGUUAUUCCAGAUUUGUGUGAGUUCAUAGCUUUAUAGUUCUUGCUUUCAAUAAUCUAGUAUUAGAGCUACGCUAAGGGGCCUGAUUUGAAGAAAGUAAGAAACUGCAGAUUUCUUAUAGAGUGUGAAAAAAGAGAAUAGAGAAGAAAGGAAGGAGGAGUGAGUGAACAUGGUAACAGAAAACUUUGCUCAGCCGGCGGUUCCAAAGUUUGAUGGUUAUUAUGACCAUUAGGCCAUGUUAAUGGAGAAUUUUCUCCAUUCAAAGGAGUACUGGAGCAUAGUAGAGAAUGGAAUUCUUUUAAUAGCCGAAGGAUCAACGCCUACUCAAGCACAAAGAAAGGAAGUUGAAAAGGUGAGGCUAAAGGAUAUGAAGAUCAAGAACUACCUGUUUCAAUCGAUUGAUAGGACCAUUAUGGAGACAAUUCUUGACAAGAACACAACAAAGAGUAUAUGGGAUUCAAUGAGGCAGAAGUAUCAGGGCUCCACUAGAGUUAAACGAGCUCAAUUACAAGCCCUUAGAAAAGAGUUUGAGAUUUUGCAGAUGAAAGAGGGUGAGAAGGUUGAUGAGUACUUUGCUAGAGCUUUGACUAUUGCAAACAAAGAUGAAAUCACAUGAAGAAAGAAUGGGACAUAAUGUGAUUGUGGAGAAAAUCUUGAGAUCGAUGACUCCCAGGUUCGACUAUGUGGUAUGCUCAAUAGAAGAGUCCAAUAAUGUGGACACGAUGACCAUUGACGAGCUUCAAAGCAGCCUUUUGGUUCAUGAAUAGAGAAUGAAUUGUCAUAGUGGAAAUGCAAGGGAUGAAUAAGCUUUAAAGGUUUUGUAUGGAGAAAGGUAUGAAGGAAGAGGCAGAGGUCGAAGUUUUGUUUGAGGCCGCGGGAGAGACAAAGGAAGGUACUUUGCAAACAAGGUCACAGUGGAGUGUUUUAAAUGCCACAAACUAGGGCACUUCCAAUACGAAUGCCUUAGUUGGGAGAAGAGUGCAAACUAUGUUGAGUUUGAUGAAAAAGAAGAGAUGCUCCUCAUGUCUUAUGUUGAAGUCAAUAACUCGAAACGAGAAGAUGUGUGGUUCCUCGACUCGGGUUGCAACAAUCACAUGUGCGGGAAUAGGUAGUGGUUCUCUAACAUUGAUGAGGCUUUCAGACACUCAGUGAAGCUCGACAAUAAUAAAAAGAUGAGAGUGAUGGGCAAAGACAACAUCCGACUCGAGAUUAAUGGCUCAACUCAGGUGGUCACUAAUGUUUACUAUGUUCCUGCUUUGAAGAAUAAUUUGCUGAGUAUAGGCCAACUUCAAGAAAGGGGUUUAGCUAUAAUUAUACAAAAUGGGGAAUGCAAGUUAUACCACCCUAGAAGAUGAUUGAUUAUGCAGACAAAGAUGACAACAAAUCGGAUGUUUGUGUUAUUGGCUAAUGUGGUGCUUGAGACCUCGACAUGCUUGCAAACAGUCACAGAAGAUAAUUCAAAGUUGUGGCACCGUAGGUUUGGGCAUUUGAGUUACAAAGGGUUGAGGACUUUGCAAUACAAAGAUAUGGUUAAGGGUCUUCCACUUCUCAGAGCGUCAACUAUAGCUUGCAAUCAAUGCUUUGUGGGAAAGCAACACAGAAAUGUUAUUCCGAAGAAGAGUCAGUGGAGAGCUUCCCGAAAAUUGCAGCUUGUUCAUGAUGAUAUCUGCGGCCCUAUUACUCAUUAAUCCAACAGUAACAAAAGGUAUAUUAUAACCUUUAUUGAUGAUUUUAGUAGAAAGGUGUGGAUAUAUUUUUUGGUUGCAAAGUAUGAAGCAUUUACAACUUUCAAAAACUAUAAGAGCUUGGUUGAUAAGGAGUUGGGUGCACUUAUAUGUUGUUUACGCACGGAUAGAGGAGGAGAAUUAACCUCCAAUGAGUUUAAUGAGUUUUUUAGAAUCAAUAGUAUAAGCAGACAGCUAACAACAUCUUAUAUCCCACAACAAAAUGGGGUAGCUGAACGCAAAAAUCGAACUAUCAUGAAUAUGGUUUGGUGCAUGCUUUGUGACAAACAAGUGCCAAAAGCUGCAAGAUGGACAGUGCAUGUUCUCAACAGGAGUCCGACAUUGGUAGUGAAAGACAAGACCCAAGAAUAGAUGUGGAGUGGAGUUAAACCCAAAAUGGACUACUUUAGGGUUUUUGGGUGCCUAGCUCAUGUACAUGUGCCAGAUCAAAAGAUAACAAAGUUGGAUGAUAAAAGUCUUUAGUGCGUCUUACUUGGAGUAAGUCAUGAAUCUAAAGCUUAUUGGUUGUUUGAUCCAACUACUAGAAGAAUUAUAGUGAGCAGAGAUGUGAGUUUCGAAGAUGAUAAAGGCUGGAAUUGGGGGAGGACAGCUGAAGAAGUGAAGCGUGAUAUAUUGGUUUGGGAAGAUAGUGUUGAAGGUGAAGAUGCUUUCUCUGAGAGUGAAGAAGAAGUUGUGGAAGGUAUUGAAACAGUGGUUACAGAUCAAGAAGCAGAAGCAACAACUCCAACAUCGAUUGAAUCAUCCAAUGAAGUUGCACCGGUUCAAGCUGAAACAAGGAUUCGAAGAGCACCUCCUUACUUGUAGGACUAUGUAACGGGUGAAGGACUGUCAGAAGAUGCAGAUGUGAAUAAUCUUGCAAUGUUUAUCUCUCAUGAAGAUCCGGGCUCUUUUGAAGAAGCUAAGAGGGAUGUGAAAUGGAGAAGGGCCAUGGACUUGGAAAUUGAAGCAAUUGAGAAGAAUGAAACCUGACAGCUUACUACUUUGCCUAAAGGUGCUAAGAAGAUUGGUGUGAAGUGGGUCUUUAAGAACAAAUUGAAUGAAAAGGGUGAGGUUGAUAAGUGCAAAGCCCGGUUGGUAGCUAAAGGUUAUGCUCAGCGACAAGGAAUUGAUUAUAAGGAAGUCUUUGCUCCAAUAGCAAGGUGGGACACAAUUCAGAUGGUUCUAGCCCUAACAGCACAAAAGGGAUGGAGUGUGUAUCAAUUAGACAUCAAAAGUGUGAUACUUCAUGGUGAGUUNNNNNNNNNNNNNNNNNNNNNNNNNNNNNNNNNNNNNNNNNNNNNNNNNNNNNNNNNNNNNNNNNNNNNNNNNNNNNNNNNNNNNNNNNNNNNNNNNNNNAAAAAAAGGGUUUCCAGGCUUAAGAAGGCCACUAUAUGGGUUGAAGCAAGCUCCACAUGCUUGGUAUAAUAGAAUUAAAGCUUAUUUUUCAAGGAGGGAUCUGUACGAUAUGAUUACGAGCACUCUCUUUGUCAAAAUAGAAGAAGGAGGUAAGAGGUUCUUAAUUGUGAGUUUGUAUGUGGAGGACUUAAUCUUUAUUGGGAAUGAUGCAUGUAUGUUUGAAAGCUUCAAGAGUUCCAUGAAGGAUGAGUUUGAUAUGACGGAUUUAGGGAAGAUGAAGUACUUCCUUGGUGUUGAAGUUUUGCAAACUUUAGAGGGUAUCUACUCAAGUCAGAAGAAGUGUGCUUGUGAAUUACUUGAGAAGUUUGGUUUACAAAAUGCUAAUUCGGUGAAAAAUCCUAUUACGCCUAGUUUCAAGCUAUCUGAGGAAGGAGAAGGUGCUAGGAUUGAUGUUAUAGUUUAUAAGCAAUUAAUUGGGAGUCUCAUGUACAUUACUGCAACAAGACCUAAUUUAAUCUACAUAUGCAAGCAACAAAGAGAGUUCUUCGUUAUUUAAAGAAAAUUGUGGAGUUGGGUGUGUUUUAUAAGAGAUGAGAAGAUGUUGGAGACCUAUUGGCUUACACUGACAGCGAUUAUGCUGGAGACACUGAUGAUAGGAAGAACACAUCUGGUUAUGUGUUUUUAUUGAGCGGCGGAGCAGUUUCUUGGGCCUCAAAGAAGCAACCAGUGGUGACUUUGUCUACUACUGAAGCAGAAUUUGUGGCAGCAGCUUUCUGUGAUUGUCAAUGUAUAUGGAUGAGGAAAAUGUUAGAAAAGAUUGGGCACUUGCAGAGUAAGUGUACUACUAUUAUGUGUGACAACAGUUCAGCGAUCAAGCUAUCCAAGAAUCCGAUUAUGCAUGGUAGGAGCAAGCAUAUAGAUGUGAGGUUCCAAUGCUUGAGGAAUCUCACUAAGAAGGAAGUGGUGAAGUUGGUUCAUUGUGGCACCAAUGAUCAAGUGGCUGAUAUCUUGACAAAACCACUGAAACUUAAAGUGUUCUUGAAGUUGCUUGAGAAGCUUGGGGUAUGUGAGGUACCAAACUUAAACUAAAUGCAUACUACUUCAAUUUAGGGAAGGAAUUAUUGUUAGGAUUUAUUUGUUUCUAUUAAGGUUUGGCUUUGUCAAAGUUCUGUUAAUAAGUUCCUAUUAGUUAGGAACUAGUAGAUAGGUUUUGACUCUUUCAGUAACUAAUACCAUGUCUUUAGGUAUAAGACGUGGGCUGCAAUAUUUUUCUAAUUCCUUAUCUUGUAAGGCUAUAUAAGCCACCAGUAAGUGUUCAAUAAAUUGGGGAUGUUAUUCCAAAUUUGUGUGAGUUCAUAGCUUUAUAUGCUUUAAAUACCACUUCUGUGGAUUGAGACUCAGUGAGUUGACCUGCUUGAUUCUGUUUAG
rnacentral:lncRNA from 1 species